CGAAGCCGCGAGGUAGAGCAAAUCUCAAAAAGACAUCUCAGUUCAGAUUGCAGGCUGCAACUCGCCUGCAUGAAGUCGGAAUUGCUAGUAAUCGUAGGUCAGCAUACUACGGUGAAUACGUUCCCGGGCCUUGUACACACCGCCCGUCAAACCAUGAGAGUUGGCAACACCCGAAGUCGGUAGUCUAACCGCAAGGAGGACGCCGCCGAAGGUGGGGUUGAUGAUUAGGGUUAAGUCGUAACAAGGUAUC
rnacentral:rRNA from 1 species